GACGAACGCUGGCGGCGUGCCUAAUACAUGCAAGUAGAACGCAGUUGCGAACGGGUGAGUAACGCGUAGGUAACUGCCUCAUAGCGGGGGAUAACUAUUGGGAACGAUAGCUAAUACCGCAUACUGUGAGAUGGACCGGCGUUGUAUUAGCUAGUUGGUGAGGGAAAGGGCCACCAAGGCGACGAUACAUAGCCGACCUGAGAGGGUGAUCCGCCACAACGGGAAUGGGGCAAGGGCCAGACUCCCACGGGAGGCAGCAGUAGGGAAACAUCGGAAAUGGACGGAAGUCUGACCGAGCAACGCCGCGUGAGUGAAAAAGGUUUUCCGAUCUGAAAGCUCUGUUGUUAGGGAAGCGGUAACUACCCAGAAAGGACCGGCUAACUACGUGCCAGCCGCCGCGGUAAUAC
rnacentral:rRNA from 1 species